rnacentral:rRNA from 1 species
CGGCACGCCUAACACAUGCAAGUCGAACGAAGUAGCAAUACUUAGUGGCAGACGGGUGAGUAACAUGUGGGUAUCUACCCUAUGGCCUGGAAUAACACGAGGAAACUUGUGCUAAUACUGGAUAAGUCUUUACGGAGAAAGCUUUAUGCACCAUUGGAUGAGCCUGCACUUGAUUAGUUUGUUGGUAGGGUAAUGGCCUACCAAGACUUUGAUCAAUAGCUGAUUUGAGAGGAUGAUCAGCCACAUUGGGACUGAGACACGGCCCAAACUCCUACGGGAGGCAGCAGUGGGGAAUCUUGCACAAUGGAGGAAACUCUGAUGCAGCGAUGCCGCGUGAGUGAAGAAGGCCCUUGGGUUGUAAAGCUCUUUCGUCGGGGAAGAAAAUGACUGUACCCGAAUAAGAAGGUCCGGC